GCCAAAGUAGAUCAGUUGGGAGAGCAUUAGACUGAAGAACUAAAGGUCCCUGGUUCAAACCCAGCUUUUGGCA